rnacentral:misc_RNA from 1 species
GAUGUAGAACGUAGUGAAAUGCGAUAAGUAAUGUGAAUUGCAGAAUUCAGUGAAUCAUCGAAUCUUUGAACGCACCUUGCGCCCUUUGGCCAUUCCGAAGGGCAUGCCUGUUUGAGUAUCAUGAACACCUCAACUCUUCAUGGUUUUCCGUGAUGAGCUUGGACUUUGGGGGUCUUGCUGGCCUAUGGUCAGCUCCUCUAAAAUAAAUCAGCUUGCCAGUGUUUGGUGGGUAUCACAGGUGUGAUAACUAUCUACGCUUGUGGUUUUCCACCAGGUAACCUUCAGCAGUGGAGGUUCGCUGGAGCUCACAGAUGUGUCUCUCCUCAGUGAGGACAGCUCUUUGAAUGUUUGAUCUCAAAUCAGGUAGGACUACCCGCUGAACUUAAGCAUAUCAAUAAGCGGAGGA